GAUGAACGCUGGCGGCGUGCUUAACACACGCGAGUCGAACGGUGAAAGAGAGCUUGCUCUCUGGAUCAGUGGCGAACGGGUGAGUAACACGUGAGCAAUCUGCCCCUGACUCUGGGAUAAGCGCUGGAAACGGCGUCUAAUACCGGAUACGAGCUGCGAAGGCAUCUUCAGCAGCUGGAAAGAACUUCGGUCAGGGAUGAGCUCGCGGCCUAUCAGCUAGUUGGUGAGGUAACGGCUCACCAAGGCGUCGACGGGUAGCCGGCCUGAGAGGGUGACCGGCCACACUGGGACUGAGACACGGCCCAGACUCCUACGGGAGGCAGCAGUGGGGAAUAUUGCACAAUGGGCGAAAGCCUGAUGCAGCAACGCCGCGUGAGGGACGACGGCCUUCGGGUUGUAAACCUCUUUUAGCAGGGAAGAAGCGAAAGUGACGGUACCUGCAGAAAAAGCACCGGCUAACUACGUG
rnacentral:rRNA from 1 species